rnacentral:rRNA from 1 species
AAAUUGAAGAGUUUGAUCAUGGCUCAGAUUGAACGCUGGCGGCAGGCCUAACACAUGCAAGUCGAACGGUAACAGGAAGCAGCUUGCUGCUUUGCUGACGAGUGGCGGACGGGUGAGUAAUGUCUGGGAAACUGCCUGAUGGAGGGGGAUAACUACUGGAAACGGUGGCUAAUACCGCAUAACGUCGCAAGACCAAAGAGGGGGACUUUCGGGCCUCUUGCCAUCAGAUGUGCCCAGAUGGGAUUAGCUUGUUGGUGAGGUAACGGCUCACCAAGGCGACGAUCCCUAGCUGGUCUGAGAGGAUGACCAGCCACACUGGAACUGAGACACGGUCCAGACUCCUACGGGAGGCAGCAGUGGGGAAUAUUGCACAAUGGGCGCAAGCCUGAUGCAGCCAUGCCGCGUGUAUGAAGAAGGCCUUCGGGUUGUAAAGUACUUUCAGCGGGGAGGAAGGGAGUAAGGUUAAUAACCUUAUU